rnacentral:misc_RNA from 1 species
GGUAGAGUCACCGAUGGAGGAGCGGCGUCGCCCCAGCAGCACCGAUUUCCCUUUCAACAGGAAGACUACCACAGCUACUCUAGGCACAGGAGUCUCUGCCUUUUGCCCCAUUUUUCUUCUGAUGAUCUCUUUGGAACACUUUCAGCUUCUCCCUCUCUCUAGACAGCAUGAGAUAAAAAAUGAAUCUGCCUUUUUAUAUGGACUUGGAACGCGCCUGCCCAGCGCUUAUUUUAAAGGUUUUUUUUUCCGCCAGAAGGAUGACUAGUAGGAAUAUGCCUUGCACUUGGCGGAUUGAUCAUUGGAAAAUCUCAGCGGCUAGCAACGUGGCAUGACAGUAUUUGGUAUUCUUGUAGCUUG